rnacentral:lncRNA from 1 species
AAAAACUUCUCUAGCUGCUGUGUCACAAAGAUACUGGAAAGGGGCAAGGUGAAGGAGGAGACCAGCAGAGCAGCCACGGCCGGGACAGUGCAGAGGAGGGAAGAUGACACAGCUGUGAGACAUUUUGGGGUUACAGCAAGAAGGCAGCUGUCUGCAAGCCUGAAGAGAGCCCUUACCAGGAGCCAAAUCUGCCAGCACCCUGAUCUUGGACUUCCAGAACUGUGAGAAAUAAAUUCCUGUUCCUGAAGCCACUCAGUCCGUGGGAUUCUAUUAGCAGUCGGGACUGACUUGGACACUGUUCCUGGAGCAACGCUAGUGGCCUGGGGAAGCUGGGCCCUGGGACUGGUGCAGGGAGGGCCACAGUCCCAGCCUAUAGCAGCUGAAGCUGCAUUUGUCCCCAGGAAGAGGACAUCACAGACACAACCCCAGAGGCAGUGGGAGGGGGCAUGAUUG